AUCCAGCUGACGAGUUCCGAAUAGGGCGAAAUGCAUGUUCUGGAU
rnacentral:hammerhead_ribozyme from 1 species